UGGUGCCCUGACGCCUUGAUUCAGCUGACUGGUGAGGGUGAGCCAGGAAGAAUUCAGAGGCAUCCCCAGUGAAUUACUGGGGCUGGCUCAGAAGCCAUCAUGCAGCAGUAUCUACAGGUCUCAUUCGGGAUGCAGAAAUAUCCGUCAGUUCCAGGAGGCAGAGAAGAGUAAUCUUUGGGAAGACAUGACACAAGAAACCCCUGGGCCCCUGAGGGUAGAUGACAGAAGUGGGAGAAGAAGGGAUCUCCACAGAAGCCUUGCUCCCCCCUGGGUGUGAGUGGCUCUGGAGACAACAAAUUGAGGUUCUGCUGUGAUGACAUCAAGCAGGGCAUCUUGACACAGCCUGGGGCAGAGAUGGGACAGGGAUCACAAAUGAGAUGUAACUGACAAUUACACACAAUACUUAUUAAUUUUUUAGAGGCUUGGAAAUAAAAUGAUUUCUUUUUAUAGGCUUUGUCACAGUAGCCCUGAGUUAAAACGGACAGUAAUAUCCAUGUGAUAUUCAGAUGGAUAUGUACAGUAAAGAAUUGGAAGUGCAGGAAUGGCAUUUAGCUAAGAGGGUUGAAUAUUUACAUUUGGGUGUAUUCUGAGUAGAAAUGAUGAUUGAAGCCAUGAAAGUAGAGAAAACCUCCAAGAGAGGAGAAACUAACAGAUGUAAUAAGGGAUGAACCAUAGUUAAGGAUUCAAAGGAUUGAGUAAAGCUGUAAAAGGAGUCCCGUCUGGGUAUUAGAAAGGGUCCCACAAGAGUGUUGGUUAGGGCAGUCAAGAAGAAGGAAACUUCCAGAAGAAAGGGGUUGGCAGUAAAGAAGAAGGAACCUUUCAGAAGGGGUAGGCUACAGUGUGGAAUGCGGUAGAUGCAAUGAGGGAAAUGAGAAAGGACCACUGGUUUUGAAGACUGGGGAGUCACUCAGAACUGGGGGGAGAGUGGUGUUAGGUGCUGGUGAGGAUGGAAGCCCUACUGUAAAGGUUUGGGUCAGUGGUGGGAAGUUCAAAGUAAUAAAGAAGAUGGAAAAGAAAAUGGUAGUUUUGGGAGUAGCAACAAGCAAAUCUUAAGGUUGAGCAAACCUGGGAAUGUUAGUGAAAAGGGAGGAGUGAAGAUCCCCGAAAAGAGAAGAUAUUUGUUUGAGCAAAGUCUCAGAGAAGGUGGGGAAGGAUGGGAUCAGUCACAGCUCUUUCUUUUCAAAGAAGGAAAAAGAAUGACAGGGUGGGGAGGGAUGGAGAAACAUUUCGUCAAAGUAUUGGUGUGGCUACAGAUAUAUGUUGAGGUGGAUAGGGUAUAAUAUCAAGUGGCUCGGGGUAGAUUUAUUCAAGUUUUCCCUGGAAAAUGAGUCAUGAGGUCCCCCUGAGACUGAGGAGAAUAGGAGUAGAGCUUGAAGAGAUUAGGAGAGGUCCAGACCUGCGCUGUUCAAUAUAGUAGUGAUGAGUCACAGUAGCUACUGAGCACUUGCAAUGUGGCUAGUCUCAAUUAAAACAUAUUGCAAGUGUAAAGUACAUGUCAGAUUUCAGACUUAGUACAAAAAAGGACGUAAAAAAGUAUCUCAUUAAUGCUUUUUAUAUUGAUUUUCUGUUGUUGAAAGGC